CAACCAAUUAGAGAGCAGUAUGAUGCCACAUCACUCCAGCUUUGUCGAAACCUAGCAUGUCUCAUAGUCUUCACCUUCUAUGUUUCUAUGUGUUUCUAACUUCUCUGAUUCUCAUGUGUAACGUCGGGGGCCAACUCAUAAAACCCUUUUAUUUACUGAAACAAUCGAGACGAAGAAACUGUUGAGAAUCCCUCUGCUUUUCACUUAUUUAUACCCAUAUUCUCAUUCUCUUCCCCUAGCCAAAAUAUUGAAACUGUAUAAGCACCUCAGAAAAUGGCUUCCAAAUCUGCAAAAUCAAUGGGGAAGGCUACAACAAGGUUUUCUUUCUCGAAAAUUUGUUUUAGGGUUCUUCGAAAUUGGCUUUUCUAGGAAAAGCUUCCAUUGACUUUGCAGAAUUCCUUACAGAAGGAGACCCAUUAAUUGUAUCCCUUCCUCUCAAGUUUUCCAACUCUGGUGCUGUCUUGAAUGUAAUCUCUCUUCUCUUUUUCUUUUAAAGCAUUAGUAAGAAGAAAUAGUUCUUCAUUGUUGUGUGCAGGUUACGAUUGAGAAGAUCCAAGGAGGCAAUGAUUUAAGUUAUUGCAGAUUUUUCAAGAUGAAAAUAAGGUCAAUACUUUCCAAAGUGGAUAGCUUCAGAAGCCUACCGAGCAAUGAUUAUUUAGAGGGAUAUAACGAAGACGAAUUGAGCUUAAAUGUUAACAUGGCUUAGACUGUUGGUCUAGGAGGUUCAACUGAUUCCAUUGGUGAAUCACGUGGAUGGAUGGUUCGGAAGGGAAUGCACACUCGCCAGUUCCGGCAUCAAUAACGCAUUAUUGUUUAUUAAAUCCUGGGUACAAAUCAAAAUCCAUAAAACCACGAACAUGGAAGAAUAAAGUCCAAACCUCUCUAGGUACCCAAAGGAGUUGGAACUGAUUCCAAUGAAGGUUUCGACCUCAGUAGACUGAAACGUCCCAUGCUUCGUCUCCACAAUCCUCAUCUCAAAAACAAGAUCCGUGGAGAUAUUGGAGAGAACUGGUGCUGACAAAAGGUUCAUAUAUUGUACUUGGGUAGAAGAACAUGAUGAUUAUGAGUUUGUCACGGAAUCUCAUUAUCAGAUGUUGUCAACUUCUUGGAUGGUAUGUGAGAAUAGUUUUUCUUUUCCAAGUUUAUAUUAAUGUCUCAGUUGUUACUGUUUGUUGUUCCCAUGAUUAUAUUAAAGAGGAUGCUCAUGAUUCAAUGGUGUACAGUUACUAGCAUGGCUUCUCAGGUUUUGAGGAAAAGCUUACGAAGUCCCAAGCUCAGCAAAUAGCAGGUACUUUGUCUUAAGUCUCAUCUUUUCUUGGGUUUCUUAUUAAAUAAGGUUUUUAUUUACUUAAACUGCAUAGCAAACCAUCUCUUCAACUUUCUUUAACUGAUCACCCACGUCAUAUGCGUGUCUUUUAUUCCUUAACACCACAUCUAGCGACACAUGUCUACUUUGACAAACAUACAGCAGCUGGCAAGAGCUUUUUCAGAGGUAUGUAUAUUUGACAUCAUCCAUUUUGUAGUUGAGAAGCUAUCCCAGACUUUUAAACAUUUUAUCAGUUCGAAAUACCACCGUACAAUGCAUUAGGUUGGAGUCUAAUGCCGACACUAACCCGGGAGCAGUAUCCACCUCAGCAGAUUAAAUCAACCAAUUAGAGAGCAGUAUGAUGCCACAUCACUCCAACUUUGUAGAAACCUAGCAUGUCUCAUAGUCUUCACCUUCUAUGUUUCUAUGUGUUUCUAACUUCUCUGAUUCUCAUCUGUAACGUUGGGGGCCAACUCAUAAAACCCUUUAUUUACUGCAACAAUCGAGACCAAGAAACUGUUGAGAAUCCCUCUGCUUUUCACUUAUUUGUACCCAUAUUCACAUUCUCUUCCCCUAGCCAAAAUAUUGAAACUGUAUAAGCACCUCAGAAAAUGGCUUCCAAAUCUGCAAAAUCAAUGGGGAAGGCUACAACAAGAAGGAGACCCAUUAAUUGUAUCCCUUCCUCUCAAGUUUUCCAACUCAAGAAUUCCAUACAGCAGCUGGCAAGAGCUUUUUCAGAGGUAUGUAUAUUUGACAUCAUCCAUUUUGUAGUUGAGAAGCUAUCCCAGACUUUUAAACAUUUUAUCAGUUCGAAAUACCACCGUACAAUGCAUUAGGUUGGAGUCUAAUGCCGACACUAACCCAGGAGCUGCUCCGUUCAGUCGUGUUUUUGCAAAGAUAUAUUGGGAAUGUGUUAUCACCUAUGCACCUCUGCCUUAUUAGUUGACCAUAAAGAUAACCACAAUGGUUCUGUCAUAAAAGGGAGGCAACGGUGAAUCUGGUGAUGAUAUGCCUGGAGUGGCGUCAGUGACUUACAAACCCCGCGUUGGUUACUGACAAUGCAGCUGACUCAACUGGUGGCCCAAGUGUAGGUUGUAAAUCACCCACCAAGAUCUUGCUCUCACCUGGCUUCAACGCAACCAAGAAAGUCCCGCAUGGCAUAAAAUCCGAGAGGAUUCACUUUUUUCCCCAACCCCAGCUUUUAAAAUAAUGCAACAGCAGCUGGUUUUCUUUUUUUCAUUUCGUCCCCACGCAGCUUAAACGUGUUUUCACAUUUCAGUUAACUUUAGUAUAAUUUUAUUUCAAGCUCAUAAACUUUCCGGUC